AGUGAACGCUGGCGGCGUGCUUAACACAUGCAAGUCGAGCGAAGUGGCAGUCCGCCGCAAGGCGGAUAUGUACUUAGCGGCAGACGGGUGAGUAACACGUAGAUAACUUUCCUCUAAGCGGGGGAUAGCUUGCCGAAAGGCGAGGUAAUACCGCGUAUAAUCCGGGCCUGGCAUCAGGCCUUGAUGAAACGUCCGCAAGGACGGCUAAGAGAGAGAUCUGCGGCCUAUCAGCUAGUUGGUGGGUAACGGCCACCAAGGCUAUGACGGGUAUCCGACCUGAAAGGGUGACCGGACACACUGACACUGAGACACGGGUCAGACUCCUACGGGAGGCAGCAGUGAGGAA
rnacentral:rRNA from 1 species